rnacentral:sRNA from 1 species
UCUAUUUUAUUUUAGUUUAACAAGAUUUCAGUGUGUUAAUGAAGUUUGUUUGUAACAUUGCAGAACUGUUCAAGCUAAGCCAAGUAGUAGCAGUAAAACUUCUGAUCCUCUAGCAUCAAAAACUACAACUACAAAAGCCCCUUCCGUGAAACCCAAAGUUAAACAGCCAAAAGUAAAGGCUGAGCCACCACCAAAGAAACGGAAAAAAUGGAAAGAAGAAUUUUCAUCAUCCCAAUCUGACUCAUCUCCUGAGAUCCAUACUAGUAGUAGUGACGAUGAGGAUGAGCUACUUUUACCUCAUAUG